rnacentral:rRNA from 1 species
CCUACGGGAGGCAGCAGUCGAGAAUCAUUCACAAUGGGGGAAACCCUGAUGGUGCGACGCCGCGUGGGGGAAUGAAGAUCUUCGGAUUUUAAACCCCUGUCAUGUGGGAGCAAAUUAAAAAUAUAGUACCACAAGAGGAAGAGACGGCUAACUCUGGGCCAGCAGCCACGGUAAUACAGAGGUCUCAAGCGUUGUUCGGAAUCACUGGGCGUAAAGCGUGCGUAGGCUGUUUCGUAAGUCGUGUGUGAAAGGCGCGGGCUCAACCAGCGGACGGCACAUGAUACUGCGAGACUAGAGUAAUGGAGAGGGAAGCGGAAUUCUCGGUGUAGCAGUGAAAUGCGUAGAUAUCGAGAGGAACACUAGUGGCGAAGGCGGGUUCCUGGACAUUAACUGACGCUGAGGCACGAAGGCCAGGGGAGCGAAAGGGAUUAGAUACCCUUGUAGUC